CUUAAUGGAAAACACUUAAAAACCAAAACUAGCAAACAAAAUUCAAUUUUAAAAAUUUCAGAAGAUAAAUAUGAACCAGAAACAAAUUUUUAUGUGUGGGAAACAUUUUUAUUUGGUCAAUAAACCGUUAUUUUUAACAAUUCAGAGAGUGGCUUAGAAAAGAGAUCAAGAGAUCAUCUAUACCAAAUAUGUUUUUUCAGGUAUGUCCAUUUUUAGCAAUGAUCGGAAAUCAUUUAUAUUAAUAAAAGAUCUGCAAGGCCCUCUUUUCCAAAUACUAAAUAAAAAAAUCUGAAUCCUCUCCAAUGCCUGUAAAUUCAGCUUAGAUCACAGCAAUCCAAACUAGGUAUAGUACUUCAAAAAAGGUUUACCCAUCUGUGAGUAAUAAUUUGCAUAUUAAAUAACAAGUAAUGAUAAUAAAUCAUAACAAGAUACCUCUAAAAUAACUUUAAAACAGUUUAAAUUAUAUAUACAUAAGAAUGACCGAGAGAGAGAGAUGGAUUAUCAUUUGAGGUAUGAAUAAUGUGAAAGUUUUGAGAGAGAAAGAGAGCAUGGGAUGGGAGUGAUAUGUGGCACACAGAAUGGUAGCACUGAGUUUGAGUUAAGACAGUGAAUUUGACUGGACUAGUCUUCUACAGGACAAUCUUCCACCAACAGGUCAACAUUUUGUCU
rnacentral:lncRNA from 1 species